AACGGAGGGGGCAAGUGUUAUUCGUCAUAACUGGGCGUAAAGCGUAUGGAAGGCGGUUGAUUAAGUGAGAGAUAAAAGACCCAAGCUCAACAAGGGAAAUAUGUCUUAGACUGGUGAACUAGAGUAUAGGAGAGGUGAGCAGUAUACCCUGUGUAAAGGUGGAAUUUUAAGAUAUAGGGUAGACGACCGAAGGCGAAGGCAGCGAACUGGAAUAUUACUGACGCUAAAGUACUAAAGCAUGGGGAGCAAACAGG
rnacentral:rRNA from 1 species